GACGAACCUAGCGAACGUUGUUCGGAAUCACUGGGCUUAAAGGGCGCGUAGGCGGGCUGUCAAGUCUGGGGUGAAAUCCCGCGGCUCAACCGUGGAACUGCCUCAGAUACUGACGGCCUCGAGGAAGGUAGGGGCGAGCGGAACUAAUGGUGGAGCGGUGAAAUGCGUUGAUAUCAUUAGGAACUCCGGUGGCGAAGGCGGCUCGCUGGACCUUUUCUGACGCUGAGGCGCGAAAGCUAGGGGAGCAAACGGG
rnacentral:rRNA from 1 species